rnacentral:snoRNA from 1 species
AAGAAAACCUUUGCCAAUAUAGCUGAUAAGUGCUGUGUUGUCUUUCCUGCUGCUAAAAAUAAAGUUGUUUCUUAUCUAUCCCUGUCUGCUGAACUCUUUGUAGCAUCCAGGGACAUUUGGUCUCAUACAA